AGGGGCCUGCCGGUCAGCCAGGGCCUGAGGGCAGGCGGGGUCAGAAAGGUGAGAAGGGGGAUGACGGUGAAAAUGGACCACCUGGAAAACCGGGCCAUGCUGGAAGGAAGGGAAAACGAGGAAAAGCUGGAAUUAGGGGCUCCAGAGGACCCAGAGGAGAAAAGG